GAUGAACGCUGGCGGCGUGCCUAAUACAUGCAAGUCGAGCGAACAGACGAGGAGCUUGCUCCUCUGACGUUAGCGGCGGACGGGUGAGUAACACGUGGAUAACCUACCUAUAUGACUGGGAUAACUUCGGGAAACCGGAGCUACUACCGGAUCAUAUAUUGAACCGCAUGGUUCAAUAGUGAAAGACGGUUUUGCUGUCACUUAUAGAUGGAUCCGCGCCGCAUUAGCUAGUUGGUAAGGUAACGGCUUACCAAGGCGACGAUGCGUAGCCGACCUGAGAGGGUGAUCGGCCACACUGGAACUGAGACACGGUCCAGACUCCUACGGGAGGCAGCAGUAGGGAAUCUUCCGCAAUGGGCGAAAGCUUGACGGAGCAAUGCCGCGUGAGUGAUGAAGGUCUUCGGAUCGUAAAACUCUGUUAUUAGGGAAGAACAAAUGUGUAAGUAACUAUGCACGUCUUGACGGUACCUAAACAGAAAGCCACGGCUAACUACGUG
rnacentral:rRNA from 1 species